GUUCCCAGGCUAGGGGUCAAAUUAGAGCUGUAGCUAUCAGCCUAUGCCACAACCACAGCAAUGUGGGAUCCUUAACCUACUGAGCAAGGACAGGGAUAAAAUCUGCAUCCUCACGGAUACUAGUAGGGUUUGUUACUGCUGAGCCACAACAGGAAUUCCUAAUUUUUUUUUAAAUGUUUACAUACACAGAUAUAUACUCAUGGAUAAUAUAUUGGGUUCUGAGACUACUUUCUACUGCAACUUUGGGGUGGGACCAAGGUAACCACCUUUAUUUAUUUGAAGAUGAGGGUGACAAUCUCCCCCAUAACACAUGGCAAUAUCUUGGCCAACAGGAGAGAUUCUCCUCUUAGACACUGACUCUGAAAAAAAAAAAUCAGUUUUCCUCUAACCAUGUUGCACAUCUCUCUGUCUCCAUCCAUGUUGGUAACAACCUCAAUCAAAGUGUGGAUUCCUUUUCUAAGCAUCCUGAGAGAAGGACGUGCUCCCAGGGGGCUUGUUGGGCAACUUUCAUUAUCCACAUCCUCAUGGAGCAGAAAUCCCUCCCAGACAGCUUGUCCCAACAUAUGUGGGAGAAGUAUGGUAGCCAAAAUGGGUUGGCUUUCCAUCUGGACUUCCUUGCUUCUGUAGGACCUUUUUUCCCCACCACACUCCCUACCUCAGGAAGAUUUUCAUCCAAGGAAGGGAGUCAGAAGAACUCUGUGUUUUGUCAGUUUGUAAAUAGCAUGCAGGAGCCACUGCAGUUCCCUACUGUUACCUACUUCAGAAUCUCCCCAUCCCUGGGCAGCUGAGGUCGGGUAUGCUGCCUGGUUGGCCGUGGCAUAGCCCAGAAACAGAGUCAGGAGGCCAGAGAAACAGUCAAAAGCAGCUCUAUCUAAUUCACACCUCGAUACCAGGUCGAGGGGGCUGGUGCAUCCAAUUUACAGAAGGAGUGUCUAAUGGGUGUUAGGCUUCGCCAGACACACAGGGCACACUUCACAGAGUGUUCUGAAGGAUCAUUGAAUAUUCUACAAAUGAGGCACAAAGAAGCACCCAGAACCAUGGAUGAAUUUAUCUAAUAUUUCAGUACCUGGAAUAUGACCAAGAUGAGCAGUUUAGUGCAAGAUUUUGCAGGACACUAGCCAGGGGUACUGCUCACAUGAGCUUGCAGUGAUGACGCUACCUUUGACUCUUGGAGAGAAAAUUGAGCAAUAGCAUCACCCUACUGAAGGCAGAUGGGCUCUGAGAAUUGUGGAAUCUAACACAGUUAACAAAGGGUCAUCAAAUAAAAUUCCCAGCAGCUCUGUAUCUCUUUAAGUAUCAUGCUUAGUUUAUAUACAAGCAAGAACUACUAAAGUAACAUUGAAAGACUUAAACAUGUUGGGGUAGCCCAAAAGAACUGAAUGCAGGAACUCAGAGAGACAUUAGUACAACCAUAUUCAUGGCAGCAUCAUUCCCAACAGCCAGAAUGCGGCAGCAAUUUAAGUGCCCAGCAAUGGACAAAUGGAUAAGUCAAAUGUGAUAUAUACAUGCAAUGGAAUAGUAUUCAGUCUUUAAAAUGAAGGGAAUUCAAAUGCUACAACAUGAAUAGACUGGACAUUAUGCUAAGUGAAAUAAGCCAGUCACAAAAAAGACAAAUACAGUAUGAUUCUACUUAUACGAGUAACUUACAAAGGACAUAGAGACAGAAAGUAGAAUGGGGGAGGGGAGAGUGGGGAAUGCUUGUUUAAUGGGUAUAGUUUCAGUUUUACGUGAUAAAAAGGGUUCUGGAGAUGGUUGGUAGUAACGGUUGCUCAACGCUAUGAAUGUAUUUAAUGCCACUGAACUGCACACUUCAGCCUGGUUAAGAUGUUAUAUUAUAUGUUUUUUACCCACAAAUAAAUAAUAUGUCGUGAUGGAUUUUAAGAGUGAUCACAAUUCUUUAUAACUGAUUCCAAAGUAAGAGGUUGAGUCUAUUUUCCCACCAGCUGGACCGGGGCUGGCCUUGUGCCUUUCUUGGGCAACAGAAUGCAGCGGAAGGAACAUCAUGGAAGUUCUGGUGACUAGACCUUAAGAGACUUUGCAGCCUCUUCUUUCAAGUUCUUGGACCCCUGCAACCUCCGUGUGAGUAAGUCUCAGCUAGCCUGCUAGAGGACCAGGCCACGUGGAAUAGAACCGAGGCACGCAACCAGCCCCUAGCCAACCUAGCAGCUCUCUGAGUCCCAGCCAAGACCAACUGAGCCUGACCUUGGUCAGUAGUAUAGUCCAGGUAAGGCCAGAUCAAAUUGCUGACCCACAGAAUCAUGAAGUACAUAAAUGGUGGUUGUUUUAAAAUACAAAGUUUUGGGUGGUUUGUUAUGCAGCAAAGGCCAACUGUUACAGAUCCUAAACAAUGCUCUGAAUUCUAUUGACUUGCUUAGCCAACAUAUUUUCAGUACUUUACGAUCUAUGACAACAGACAUGGUGAGCUGUCUUUGCUCCUAUUACAGCUUCAAUGCCUAACCUUGUGCAUAGCACAGAGCAGGCACUUAAUAAAUAUUUGUUGAGAAAAAGAAUAGUGUGAAAUAGAUUUGCUGGCACCUCAAAAUAUUUUCUUUUUUCCUGAAUGAGGCAGGGAAUAACGAUAAAUACAAGAUAAAUACAUGGAAUACAGAGAAAAAACUCAAUUAGGCUAUGUCUUAAUCAUCCAAUAUUCUUAAUUAAUGGGGCAUGGAUUGAUGAAUUUUAAAGCAUCUGCAGACUCCCUUCAACAAAUAUUUAUUUUGCACAUAAUUUGUGCUAUGUACAAUGCUAGCCCCUAGGAUGCAGGGGAUAAGCCAGACAGAGAGUGUUCCUGGCCUCACAGAGUCAUAGAAAUGUAUGCCAUUAAUUCUAUGUAACACAGAAAAUAAUUUCACUUUACAACUGCAGGUAGAAAUCAUAAAUAGGGCUAUGGGUAGGCAUAUGCAUAACAAAUAUAUGCCAUUUGAUCCUGGUACAAGAGGCUUCCUUUCCUGUAACUUGAUUUUUGUUGGCUGAUUUUUUUCCUAUUUAUUAUUAUUAUUAUUAUUACUAUUAUUUUUGCUUUUUCAGGGCUGCACAUGCAGCAUAUAGAGGUUCCCAGGUUAGGGGUCAGAUUAGAGCUGCAGCUGCCAGCCAAUGCCACAACCACAGCCACAGAGGAUCUGAGACACAGCUCACAGCAAUGCCAGAUCCCAAACCCACAGAGCGAGGCCAAAGGUCGAACCUGUGUCCUCAUGGAGACUAGCUGGGUUCAUUGCCACAAUGGGAUCGUCUCCUAGUCAUUUAAGUAAUACAAUCUAUUCAUCCAUCCAACAAAUAUUUAAGGGGUGGAGUGGAUAUAUAUAGCGUGAACUAGAUGAAAGUACUCUCUGACGUCAUAAUGCUUUCCAUGUGGUCAAGGAGGCUCGAUGUAUAACUUUACGUAUAAUCAUGCUAAUAAACAAAUAACUAUAAAUUGGCCAUGUAUCACAGAGGGAAAGCCCAGGGCCCUGUCACAGGGGAGUACGAUCUAGGCUGGGUGGGGCAUAGCUGGGCAACUCCCAGGCCUGGCAAACAGCCUAGUGAAACAGCAUCCCAGCUUGGGUUGGUGUGUCAUGGGACAGUCCUUUUCUGUGUGGUUUUAAAGACCUGGGACUGAGUUUCAAAGAAUUUAUGGACUUGAACUAACUUGUGAGUACUAUGGAUCUGUGAGGUUUUAUCUCCCUCUUUCCCUCCAUCACAAAGUUGCCACUUGGUGAACAUUUUUUUUAUAUAUUUACAGAGUCUCAGAGACAAAGCCUAGACCGUGGGACUGCAGACAUCUGCUCGAGUCUGAGUCAAGGUCAGAAGAGCCUGACCCAGGUCCUCAGAACUGCCCAGAUGUGCCCAGACUGAAAAGAGACACUGAACUGUUCCCUAAGCCCCACUGAAACCUCUCUCAGCUGUCUUUCCACCUGUAGCAUGAGGACAUGCACCCCCUACCCCUCCCAUCCUCUCUCAUUAUCAACCCUCCUCCACCAUGUGCCCACAGGGCAUUCAGAAAGCGCUUUUGCCCCCUCACAGGCAUGUGGCAAUGAUCCCCUAGAUGCUGUCUGUGAAGUGCCACAUGUUCCAAGGAGAGAGCACUCUCCAGAAGGAACAUGAGGGAUGGUAAUUAUUAUUGCGCCUCUGUGGAGAGGCCACGGGUACUUGGCAUGGCGCCACAGCCUUUUCUGGAGACAGCUGCUGCCUGGCUGCAUGUGCAGCCCCAGCCGCAGACGUUUCUGCUUCACAUAGACAUUGCCCUGGGCUGCGGCAGGCACCGCCUCUUCAUCUGCCCAGGCUGCGAUGUACAAGGACACAGAUGAGGGCUGGUGCCCACGCCUUGGAGCUAUCAGUCAAUGUUUAUUCAUUUAACAAAUAUUUAGUGAGUGUUUACUCUGAGCCAAGCACGAGGCUAAACAUUGCUGGGGUACGGAGGUUUGUAAGAGAGGAGAGAAACCAUUUAUCCAACGCUAGCUAUGGGGCUCUGUCCCAGGCCAAAUAAUAUCUCAUUAAUCCUUUGACAGAUGAAGAAACUGGUGUUUAGCAGCAGAUGUAGGGUCAGAGAGUCAUUCAAAGGCAGAGCUGACACUUGAUUCAGUGUCAGCCCAAUUCUAAACACUGUGGUAUUUCCAGCAUGCUGUUCUGCUUCAGGAACUUAUCAAGACCCCCAGCAUCUUGACCUCUGCAGGGACCACAGUCCUUAAACAUAGCAUGGGGCCACAUGAGCCCUCUGGUCCCCUGUUGACGGUCAUAUACAUUCCUCACAGAAAUUUACAUCCUCCUUUUCCUACCUCGGAGUCAACUUGGGAAGCAACACCUUUUCUCAAUCUAAGGCUUGGUAGAAAGUUCCAGGUGCAGGUGGAGGGAAAGAGUAUUCCAUGCAGAGGAACCAGCCUGUGCAAAUUCAUGGUGGCAAGAAAGAUUUAUUGAGAUGAGGCAGACCUGGGCAUGCUUGGUGAAAAGGAAGAGCAAAACGUACAAGAGUUGAAAAGGAAUAACUGGGGUGGCAAGAUGGGAUAGGGGCAAAGCCACCCACCCCCCAGAUGAAGAGGUGCAGGAGAAAGGUACUGCCUUCUAGCCAGGUGGGAAGAAUGGAUGCAAGUAACUUAAAACCAAGUAGACAAUGGUGACCACCAUACUUCAAGAGCAUGGAAAAGGUUUGGCAGUUCCAGUGGGAAAUGGCAAAUGCUAGUGGCUAAUUAUUGGCUGAAAUGUUAGUUUAAAUAGAAAAAACAAACAAAAUGGAAACUAUUAUAGAGUCCACUAAUGAAGGAAUGCUUGAGAAAAUUCUGAGACAGCUACUGGACGGGAUACUUUGUAGCCAUUAAAAAUGACCAUUAUGAAGAUUUCAUAGCAACAUAGAAAAGACCUUAUGAAAGAAAACCCUACCCAGUUUUGACACUUAAGUAGAACAUGUGACAGAAAAGGCUAGAUGGAGAGAGAAAUAUGUUGUUUUGAGACAGCAAAGAAACGUCAUGAAGAAGUGGUUUUAAAGGACAAUUCAUAGAUUUCAUGAAUCACUUGAUAUUGCUUACAAAGUUGUGUGUGCGUGUGUGUGUGCAUGUGUGUGUGUGCGUGUGUGUGUGUGUGUGCUGCAUGUGACAAAAGGACAGCUGAAAAGGGUUCUUGGCUAACAUCUACCUCCCAACAUUCUGAGGACCUAGUCUGGGAGCUCACGUCACGAAUGAUUUGCCUGGGGGACCCAUGCCUCCCCUCUGCUGGGUUCGACACCGAGGAUGAGUGUGCGUACACACAUCCGCACACACUUUCUCUCUUACCCAGUGAAGUUUUCAUCCGCCCUCCCAGGUUUCCAGGAGCCCAUCAAGGAACUCUUCUAAAGAGCAAAGGGAUUUUCUCCCCCAGUGACCUCACGUGGCUUUAUAAAAUAUCGAAUUCCCUCCCAAUGAAUGGUUACUGGGAAGAUCAAAUGCCACGGCUUUGGAGCCAAGUCUGAGAUACACAAAAGAGAAAGUGAUCCCAUGGGACGGCUGGACCAAGAUGGCGAACUUCCCAGAAGACCACGUGCCCCUUAAAUCAAGCUGGAACAUUUCAGGGUGAGGAGGAAGAACAGUGUGCAAUAAAGAAAAGAAAAAUGGGUGCUUAGCAAAACAAAUGUUUUAAAGCUUUUGAAUAAUUCAAAACAAUGGCACAUUUGACGGGGUCAUGUGUUCCAGCUAGUAAAUAAUGUCAUGAGAACAUUCUUGUGUUCCUAUACCACUCACAUUCCUUCAUUCACUAAAUAUACACUGAGCAAGUUUCUUAAGCCUGAUCUCCUCCUUAUGAAAGAACACGAGAGACAUACAGCUAUGGGCGUGGAAAGUAUGAAAGGGGCUUCAGGCAGCCAUUCUGGGUUUGGAUCCUCCACCCCCCCAAGCAGAUUAGUUCUACCCACUGAGCCUCACUUCCCUCAUCUGUAAAAUGGGAGCACUGCUUACCAUGCAAGUUGUAUGAGAACUCUGUGAAUGAAUGUAUGUACAGCAGCAGACGCAGGAUACAGGCACAGAGUAGGUCCACUCUGGUGGGUAGGCCU
rnacentral:lncRNA from 1 species